GAUGAACGCUGGCGGCGUGCCUAAUACAUGCAAGUCGAACGCUUCACUUCGGUGAAGAGUGGCGAACGGGUGAGUAAUACAUAAGUAACCUGACAUCUACAGGGGGAUAACUGAUGGAAACGUCAGCUAAGACCGCAUAGGUGUAGAGAUCGCAUGAACUCUAUAUGAAAAGUGCUACGGGACUGGUAGAUGAUGGACUUAUGGCGCAUUAGCUUGUUGGUAGGGUAACGGCCUACCAAGGCGACGAUGCGUAGCCGACCUGAGAGGGUGACCGGCCACACUGGGACUGAGACACGGCCCAGACUCCUACGGGAGGCAGCAGUAGGGAAUUUUCGGCAAUGGGGGAAACCCUGACCGAGCAACGCCGCGUGAAGGAAGAAGUAAUUCGUUAUGUAAACUUCUGUCAUAGAGGAAGAACGGUGGAUAUAGGGAAUGAUAUCCAAGUGACGGUACUCUAUAAGAAAGCCACGGCUAACUACGUG
rnacentral:rRNA from 1 species